rnacentral:pre_miRNA from 13 species
GCCCCCGUCCCCCCCCAGCGCUCCCCGGGCUGAGGUAGUAGGUUGUAUAGUUGAGAGUGACAGCCCUGGAGAUAACUGUACAGCCCACUAGCUUUCCCCGGGCCGCGCCCUGCAGCAGGACGGGGGA